rnacentral:tRNA from 1 species
UGGAUCACCUCCUAACAGGGAGACAACACAAUGAUUUUAAUGCCUGAGUGCUUUUAUUCUUAGGCUGAAAUCCUGUCACCUUAGGUCGAUCGGUACCUCAGCUUUGAAGUUAAGGAUCAGCAGCAAUGUCGAUUGCUUGAUGGAGAUUUUCAGUUCCUAAACUUUGUCUAGGUCACACCCCAAAAGGGAUGAGACUCCUGGGCCAUUAGCUCAGGUGGUUAGAGCGCACCCCUGAUAAGGGUGAGGUCCCUGGUUCAAGUCCAGGAUGGCCCAUUCGGUGUUGGGGGUUUAGCUCAGUUGGUAGAGCGCCUGCUUUGCAAGCAGGAUGUCAGGAGUUCGAGUCUCCUAACCUCCACUGACCGAAAUGAAUCCCCAUCUCCCAAGAGUGGAGUAUGAGCUCGUAUGGAUUGUGAUUUAGAUUUGUCCGCUAGAUGAUCCUAGCUUCUUGUCAUUUUAAAGAAUGGGAGUGAACCCAAGAUUUAAUUGAUAGGACGCUGGGCUCAAUGAAUGGAUUGAGAGAUCAAUGCAUUGAUUUGAUGUCUAGCCGAACCUUGACAACUGCAUAGUAAGUCUGGAAAGAAUAAAACAUCUCAUAGAUGCAUCAUUCUUGAGGGUUAAUUCUUGAUGGAAUGAUGUUAAUUCUACGAGCAAGAGCCGAGACUCCAUCACGUUCUUUCAAAUGUGUCGAGCAUUUGAGAGUUUGAUUUUAAGUUCUAAGUUAGAAGUUCUAAGUUAGAAGUUAAAAGAAUCUGUUUCAACAACAGCAAGCGUGUUGGAGAUACAUUGGUCAAGCUACAAAGGGCUCACGGCGGAUACCUUGGCACACAGAGGCGAUGAAGG